AAUAGACAGAAAGAUUUUACAGGAGAUGAAAGAAAGAAGAACAGUAGCAGAUGAGAGAGCAAAAGAACGAAUGCAGAGGACAAAAAAACAGAGAGACAACAUCAAAUCACAGAUGAGUGAUGCUCAACAUCGAGCUGAGGAUUGUGUUAAUGGGGUCUAGAGCUGCUGGUAAGAGUUCAACAGGAAACAGCAUCCUGGGCAGAGAGGAGUCUGACAUGGAGAGAUCUGCUCAGUGUGUGAGGAGAAAUGGAGAAGUAGCAGACAGACACAUCACGGUCAUUGAAGCUCCAGGAUGGUGGAUGGACGAACCUAUAGACGAAAUUUCUGAUUUCCUGAAACAGGAGUUUUUGCUCAGUGUGUCUCUGUGUCCUCCAGGACCACACGCUGUACUACUGAUCAUACGUGUGGACACUGGAUUUAAAGAGACUGAGAGAAAAGCAGUGCAGGGGCAUCUGGAUCUUCUCGGUGAGAGAGUCUGGAGUCACACUAUAGUGCUGUUCACUCGUGGAGACUCUCUGUCAGACACAUCUAUAGAGCAGCACAUUGAGAGUGAAGGACAGGAUCUCAGGCAGUUGCUGGACAAAUGUGGGAACAGAUAUCAUGUUCUCAACAAUCAGAACAGGAGGGAAGACACUCAGAUCAAGGAGCUGCUGGAGAAGAUUGAGGAGACAGUGGCACUAAACAAUGGCUGCCAUUUUGAAAUAGACAGAAAGAUUUUACCAGAGAUUAAACAAAGAAGAAGAUCAGAGGAAGAGAGAGCAAAAAAAAAAACUAGGAAGAGUAUAAAAAAAAUCUGAAAGAUGACAGCAGAUUACAUUUAAUCAGUGAAGAUGAGGGAUAUGAUUCAUGUUCUUUGGGAAGUUCUACUUCAUUCAGAUCACUAUCAAGAGUGGACAGCAGGUCAAAUUUUGGGUCAUCUCGUUCCAUCAUAUCGGGGAUGGUAAAAAUAUCUGACAGCAUGGAAACACUACCACCAAAAUUGAGUGGAGAUGAGGGAUCAGACAUAUGGUCCCUGGGAAGUUCUGCUUAUGGUUUAUUGAGAUCACUGUCAGCAGCAAAGAGCAGUUCAUUCUUCUCAUCACACAGCUCAGAAUUUGUAUCUUUGCAGUCCAUCCCUGAGUCUGUGGAACAUUCAGGAUAUAAAUGAUUGUGUCCAAGAUAUCAAAACCUUUCUCAUGAAUAUUAGGGAAGCAUGAUGAGCAUGAAGACAACAACACUAAAUCAUAUUGUUUUUGGGUUUUUUUGCAAUGAGAAAUGGUGACUCAUGAUCUUGGCAUAAAGCCAUUCAUGAUCUUUGUUCUCCCCCAUGGAAAUCAUGAGCCACUAGAAUAAUUACCACCUUUUACCCAACUAGCAACAGCCUUUCCAAGUAAAAUAUUUAUCUGUAGUGGAGGAUAUUAACGUGAUCUCAUGAGAAUAUGUGUGUAUUUUUACGUUAAAUGUGGUUCUACCACACGUACAUUUACUUACGUUUUCAUGCAAAUAAAAACGUACAACAUUGAUGAUGUGUUUAUAGCAGUAAAACUUACAAGCACUUACGUGUUAGCAGCUAAAAAAACGUAAAUAAUCUAAUGUAAAGUGUGAAUGUAUAUGAAUUCCCAUGUAUUAAUAUUAAA